AUUGAACGCUGGCGGCAGGCCUAACACAUGCAAGUCGAACGCGUGGCGGGCAGGUGAGUAAUGUCUGGGGAACUGCCCGAUGGGGGGGGGUAAAUCCUGGGAAAGGUGGCUCAAACCGCAUACCCUCGGAUAUGCCCCGAUGGGAUUAGCUUGUGGGUGAGGUAACGGCUCACCUAGGCGACGAUCCCUAGCUGGGCUGAGAGGAUGACCAGCCACACUGGAACUGAGACACGGUCCAGACUCCUACGGGAGGCAGCAGUGGGGAAUAUUGCACAAUGGGCGCAAGCCUGAUGCAGCCAUGCCGCGUGUAUGAAGAAGGCCUUCGGGUUGUAAAGUACUUUCAGCGGGGAGGCGUUACCCGCAGAAGAAGCACCGGCUAACUCCGUGCCAGCCGCCGCGGUAAUAC
rnacentral:rRNA from 1 species